rnacentral:lncRNA from 1 species
GUCAAGGAGGUGCUGUGGGCCCCAGCCAAGAGGAUGUGAUCUGCUGACCCAGUGCAUCAAGGUGGAGGACAGGGAGUGAGGCCAAGGUGCUGCAUUGCAACCUGCAGCGCAGGCUCCCCUGACGGGGACCUGGAGCUGAAGGAGCCUGAUUUUAAGCAUCCAGCCUGGUGUGAUGCUGCCUGACCCAAUGGGCCAUGUACUGCCAUGGGACCAGAUCCAGCUCURCCACUGACAUAAAGCAGGAUAUUCCUGGGAUCCGGCUUGCCGCUGUGACUGAAGUGCAAAUGCAGCCUGGGAAAGAURCCAUCAUUUCUGCAUGUUGAGCAGACAGGGGAGAAUAUCUGGCUGUGACAYGCAGAGAUAGCAGAGUAGAGCUGGGGAGAUCCUGCUGAACACUGCAGGCAGUUGAAUUUCCUGGUGAAGAAAGAGAAAAGGAGCAGCUCUUGCUCUGCUUCCCAUCACCAGAGGGACCCCUCGGACCAGUCAUGGGGCUUCCCCAGCACAGCUCU